rnacentral:hammerhead_ribozyme from 1 species
AUUCAGUUGACGAAUCCCAAAUAGGACAAAACCCUCGUCAAACUGGAU